AUCGGUCCACCCCACUGCAGCCUGGCUAUAAGCAUUCUGCAGCAGCCCUGCGAGGUGAAACCUUUGUCAUGCCCCUCUGACAGAGGCACAAAGAGGUGAAAUAGUUGGCCUCCCUGCACACCCCUGCCUCUGCCCCUGCCCCGCUAUGCCGUCUUCUCCAGCCUUGGAGGCUCUGCACCCCGAAGCCUCGGAGGGGAAGGCGGUUUCGUGCACAUGGUGAUUGUAAGAGCUUAGAUCAGGAAGCUGAGGAAAGAUUAGAACUGGAAAUUUCGGAAUCUCCGAGGGCUAGAGUCGGGGUGUCCAGCCCCGCGUCUGGGCAUGUAUCAGGGGUGGGCAGGGUGGACAGCCACAGGGCCCCACAGGCUGACCCUCCCCCACCCGUGUUGGCUGUGGCCAUUCCCGCUUUGGGGACCCCCCUGACAGAACGAGGAGCACCCUCCAUAGGGUGCGUGCUCAGAGCCAUUCACUGCUGCUCUUUGUGGUGUCCCCACGCUGAGAGCGGCCUGAACGUCUCAGGUACCACGGCACCCUGGGAAGUUACGUGUUCUCCAUGGAAUAUGCUACGCGACUGAGAAGCAGCUGGAGCUGCGGGCAGCCACCUGGUGACAGCCGGGUGGGCACCGCGGCGAAAGGCGCAGGCACAAGGGAGUUGCAGGGCGGGGCCUGGUGCCGGCCUCAGGGCUGGACGUGGGGCAAGGGCCGGGCCAGCUCUGCUUCAUCCCGCUUCGUAGUGUCUGAUUUGUUGUAAUGAACAUUAACUGUAUUCAUAAUUCUAAAACCCUGGAAAAGGUAAAAAGAAACUGAGCGGCCCCCUUCUCUGACUGGAUGCGCUGUGCCUUCCUGGGCAUACUUCGGUCCUGCAACUCUGGGCGACCUAGGGCUCAUCAUGCUCCACGUCUCCAGGCCUCAGUUGCUCACAGACGAAAUGGGUGUCGUUCCGCCACGCUCGCUGUACCUGGCACCCACAAGUGGUCCUCAGUCCCCCACUCAGAAUAAAUGGAUAGAUGUA